rnacentral:lncRNA from 1 species
AACAGAAAGAAAAGUACCGUCUGAACGUGUGUGGUGAAGGGGGCGAGUAUGAAUCUUUCACUCUUGACUGUCCAAUUUUUAGAAAGCGUAUAGUAGUACAUGAAACAGAAAUAGUGGAAACUGCAGGAGGUGUUGGUUACUUGAAUCUGAAGUCUUUAGAACUAGUUGAUAAAGAGAUACCUGAUGACAUGAGUCAGCUGGAGUUAGUGAAAGCGGCUGGUAUUCGUGGACCCAGAAGAGUUCCUGAGUGACCUAAACUUGGCAGAGGAAGAACAGCAGGCAGAGGACCAGGCCAAGGAAUCUAUAUAGAAGACAAUGAUGCUUCUAUAACCAGGUAUGAGCCCUUUCAUGCGACCACAAACUCUUCCUGAAGUG